GACGAACGCUGGCGGCUUGCCUAACACAUGCAAGUCGAACGAGAUCUUCGGGUCUAGUGGCGCACGGGUGCGUAGCGCGUGGGAAUCUGCCCGUUGGUUCGGAAUAACAGUUGGAAACGACUGCUCAUACCGGAUGAUGACGAAAGUCCAAAGAUUUAUAGCGAGAGGAUGAGCCCGCGUAGGAUAAGCUAGUUGGUGUGGUAAAGGGGCACCAAGGCGACGAUCCUUAGCUGGUCUGAGAGGAUGAUCAGCCACACUGGGACUGAGACACGGCCCAGACUCCUACGGGAGGCAGCAGUGGGGAAUAUUGCACAAUGGGCGAAGGCCUGAUCCAGCAAUGCCGCGUGAGUGAUGAAGGCCUUAGGGUUGUAAAGCUCUGUUACCCGGGAUGAUAAUGACGGUACCGGGGGAGUAAGCUCCGGCUAACUCCGUGCCAGCAGCCGCCGUAA
rnacentral:rRNA from 1 species